AUGGAAGGUGGCCGGGUGCUUAUGGUUCUCCUCCUGUGGCUCUUGGUCAGCCUCGCUGGCUCCAGCCCUCCGCCGGAGCCAGUGGUCUGUGACUAUGCCUAUGGCACGUCCGGCUGCACUGUCUCCAACGCGUACGGCUCCUUCCCUGACCACACCGUCUGCCGCGCGGCCGACGCCACCUUCCCGCGCACCGAGGAGGAGCUUGUCGCAGCCGUGGCAGCCGCGGCGGCUGCCAAGCGCAAGGUGAAGGUGGCCACCAAGCACUCCCACAGCUUCCCCAAGCUGGCCUGCCCCGGCGGGAACGACGGCGCCAUCAUCAGCACGGCGCGGCUCAACAGGACAGUGAGCGUCGACGCCGCCAAGGGGCUGAUGACGGUGGAGAGCGGCAUGGUGCUCCGGGACCUCAUACAAGCGGCCGCCCAAGCUGGGCUUGCGCUGCCGCACUCGCCCUACUGGUCAGGCCUCACCAUCGGGGGCCUGCUGGCCACGGGCGCGCACGGCAGUUCGCUCAAGGGUAAGGGCGGCGCUGUGCAUGAGUACGUGGUCGGGAUGAGGAUCGUCACGCCGGCGCCCGCCAGCCAAGGGUUCGCGGUGGUACGGGAGCUCCGUGCCCACGAUCCUGACCUGGACGCGGCCAAGGUCUCCCUCGGCGUCCUUGGCGUCGUUUCCCAGGUUACGCUGGCCUUGCAGCCCAUGUUCAAGCGGUCAGUGACGUUUGUGACGUGCGACGACUCGGACCUGGCGGAGCAGGCCACCAAGUGGGGCAACCUCCAUGAAUUCGGCGACAUGGCGUGGCUGCCCGAGCAGCGCAAGGUGAUUUACCGUAAGGAUGACCGUGUGGCCAUCACGUCGGCAGGUGAUGGCCUCAACAACUACAUAGCCUUCCGCUCCAACCCAACGGCAGCGCUCAUGGCCGCCAGAGUCACGGAGGAGCUUCUUGAGAAGAACGCCAGCGCCAUCGCCCGAUGCAAGGCAGCACACAAGAUGGUAUCAUCGUUUGAGACAGUGGCGUACGGCUUCACCAACAACGGUCACCUGUUCACGGGGUACCCGGUGGUGGGGUUCCAGCACCGCAUCCAAGCGUCCGGCGCGUGUGUCGGCAGCCCAGAAGACAUGCUCCUUACCUCGUGCCCGUGGGACCCACGCACUCGGGGACUCCACUUCUACUCCAAUGCAUAUAGCAUCGCACUCUCCAAGGUGUCAGCGUUCAUUGCCGACAUGAAGCAGCUCCGCGAGCGCAACCCACUGGCCUUUUGCGGAAUCGACGCCAAAAUGGGUAUGCUCCUCCGCUACGUGAAGGCAUCUUCCGCCUAUCUCGGCAAGUCGGAAGACUCGAUCGACUUUGAUAUAACAUACUACCGGAGUUACACCAGAGGCGAGCCCAGCCCGCAUUCUGACGUGCUGGACGAGCUUCAACAGAUGGCGCUACGCAAGUACGGAGCCAUCCCCCAUUGGGGCAAGAACCGCAACUUUGCGUUUGAAGGCGCCAUUGACAAGUACCCCAAGGCCGACAAGUUCCUGGAGGUAAAGGGCAGGUAUGACCCCGAUGGGAUUUUCUCUAGCGAAUGGAGUGACCAGGUUCUCGGUAUUAGUGGGAGCCCAAUCAUUGUCGAGAAGGGUUGCGCCAUUGAGGGGCUUUGCAUCUGCUCCGAGCACUUGCAUUGUGCACCUGAGAAGGGCUACUACUGCCGCCCGGGGAAGGUGUACACGGAGGCAAGGGUCUGCUCAUUCCAACCUAUCUGA
rnacentral:rRNA from 1 species